UACGUAGGGUGCAAGCGUGUCCGGAAUUAUUGGGCGUAAAGAGCUCGUAGGCGGUUUGUCGCGUCUGCUGUGAAAACUCGGGGCUUAACCCCGGGCCUGCAGUGGGUACGGGCAGACUAGAGUGUGGUAGGGGGAGACUGGAAUUCCUGGUGUAGCGGUGAAAUGCGCAGAUAUCAGGAGGAACACCGAUGGCGAAGGCAGGUCUCUGGGCCACUACUGACGCUGAGAAGCGAAAGCAUGGGGAGCGAACAGG
rnacentral:rRNA from 1 species